rnacentral:misc_RNA from 1 species
AUGGAUGAAACGGACACAAGAGGCCAUAAAAAUCAUCGCUUCUUUGGUUUUCCCAAGAUGAAUUGGGCAACAAAGGCUCGGAAUGUGCUCGUUCCGAGGAUUUGGUUCACAAAAAAUAGUGGAGAAGACGAUGAUGUUACGAAGAAGAACCAAGUAAUUGUCCGAUCAAUGAACGCUGACCAACAAUCAGAUGAAGGAUGCUGGCCAGAGCUGAAAGAAUUUUGCAAAGCUCAUGUCAUUGAGGAUUUCUGGGACCUAACGAGCUAACACUACGCAAUUCAUAUUAUGAGAAGAUGGUCAUUGAACAUUGCCAAUUUGUGGAGAAUCGAGAUUUACAAGGAUCCGAAGGACGCACUGAUCAUCCAAACGCUACAUUGAUUUCAAUUUUAGCAGCUGUCAGACAUGGAGAUCGUUUUGGAUUGUAUACUGGUGGAAAAUGUAGUGAACUGAGUGAACAAGAAGCAAAAGAAUUUGAGGAGUACUUGACUGUCUCUCGUGGUCAGAAUAUCACAAGUCGAUUGAAUAUUCCACCUGGUUUUGAAAACCUGCAAAUUGUUCCGGGAGGAAAUAAAUGCCAAAGAGCAUUUUUGUCUCCACGAGGCGCGAUUCAAGAAUUUGCAUUGGGAAGGUUCUUAUACAGUUUGUACAAGGAUACUCCAUUAUUUGAUACUUCGGAGACUCCCUUGAAUUUGAAAUUAACAUUUUCGAAAUUUCAAAGAACAUUUGCUUCUGGAAUAGCUCUUGUCAGUGGUCUGUUGGAUCAAAAUCAAACUAACUUCGCAACACCGAUUCAAUUAACAAACUCAUCUGUAUACUACGGGUGUACAGAUGCUGAAUGUAACUGUGACAAUGUCAUCAAGACACUACUACAAACGAUGAAAGCAGAGAGUCAGGGAUUGUUUCAAUUGGAAGCCGAUAGAAGAAUUCUAGACGUUGCAAAGAAAAUGUUUGAUGCAAUUAACUAUUCUUCUGUACACAUUGAUCCUUUGGAUGUCAUUGAUAACCUUGUAGCAGGAUAUGUGUGUCAACGGAAGGAACUUCCAUGUAAUGAUCAGUUUUGUACCUCGUUCAUGUAUUUUGGAGAUGUUCUUGAAUAUUUCAACAAACAAAGUGCGAAAAUGUUCAAUUUGAAUCUUGGAGUUGAUAGACAAUACCGUGUCCUGAAUUCAUAUCCAAUUCUGAGAGCUCUCGGUUUGAUGGCUGAAGGCAACGAAAAAGAAGUUCAACUUUUCUCGUCUCAUGACACAAUUAUUGGGUCGAUUCUCCGAAUUAUCACGGACUCUGCCAUCUACAAUGAUUGGCAAUUGCUUGCGGCUCGGGUCGUUUUUGAGGUCUAUGAAACCCCCAGCAAAACGAGAUUGCUCCGCGUGCUCCACAAUGGAGUCGACAUAACGUCUACUGUGAAGUUCUGUAAAAGUUUUGAAUAUGGACUGUGCCCAUUGUCAGGUCUUCAAGAAUUUCUGAAAAUUGGAAUAUUUGAGGUGGCCGGAUUCAAAAGCUUCGAAGAAGAAACAUGCAAGGAUCAUCGGACGGAACUUAUACUUCUCUGA